rnacentral:lncRNA from 10 species
UUAGCUGGGCGUGGUGGCGCACACCUGCUACUCGGGAGGCUGAGGCGGGAGAAUCGCUUGAACCCAGGAGACAGAGGUUGCAGUGAGCCAAGAUUGCGCCAUUGCACUCCAGCCUGGUGACAAAGCGAGACCCGGUUUCAAAAAAAAAAAAAAAAGCUACUUUCACUUGGGAUGUGUGUGUGCACACAUGUGUUAUUGUUGUCGAAGAGCAGUUUCCAAGAACCCUCAACUAGCCUAUGAACGUGGCUGCAAGUUGACACUUGACAAUACUCAGUUCAAGACUAUACCUGAUACUGCCGCACUCCCUUAUAUUAUUUCCUGUUUUCCCAAAAGAUAGCAAGUGUCUUGAGGUUAAUAACUGUCUUUAUUUCUGUUAUGUCCCUCAUAGUGUUUCCCAUCAUAUCUGUGUUGAAAUGAACAUUCAUGUGAUGUUCCAGGAGACCCAGUCCCACUAACUUAUCCAGUCUUUGAAAUAAAUUGCUCUUAUUCUCUGAACUGUAAAAUUGAAUGUUAAUAUUACUAUUUUUUGGAAUAUCUUGACUCUACAAUAAUCUACAUUUGUAUGAUAUGGUUGCAAGCAUUACUAUCAUGUGAAAAAGAAUAGUUUUUUUGUGCUUAUUCCCUAAAAAUUUUGAAGCUUUGGAUAUAAUUUUAUCAAUAUAGUAAGUCUGUGUGCGCGCGCUCUCUCUCUCUCUCUCUGGCUCAC